UGAAUGCAACAAGCCCCACAAUUGAGAUCUCUUAGGCCCACAAUGAGAUGUAAUUAGCCCAACACCUCUUUUGACUUGUUUGCGUGCGUGUUACCUCUUCCAGCAACAAAAAUUAACAGCCUACUCUUCUCUUACAAUCGAUCGAACGCGCCCCACCCCUACUGUGGAUCGAUUAACAGGUGUGCCUGUAGUGGUAGCGAAUCAGUGUUUUACUGAGUUAUAUGGCUGGAAAGAGGUGUGAGAUAAGGGUGGAGAAUGGUGGAAUCGGGUGAUUGUUUUUGCGGUCAAGAUCAUGGGUCAAAGAGGUCCGGGGAAGGAGACUGGUGGUGUACGGUUGUGGCUAGAAUGGAAGAAGGAUUGCUGAUUUCAGCAGUGGUGGAUGUUAAUGGAGUUUAUGGAUGGUGAUCGAUGGCUGAUUUUGGGAGGUUGAUGGUGAGGAUAAAAAGGAGAAAUAAGGAUGGGUUGUGGUAGGGCUGAACAAGUGAACAUGGUAAAUUUUUUGCUAUCAGUACAAAUUGCUAGUGAUAUAUUAUAAUUUUGUUAUAAUUUUGAAUUGUAAUAGUUAAAAGACUAGCGGCACACUUUUGUUGUCUAUUAAUAUAAAUUAGUAAAUUAACUAAUUAGUUACUAAAAAA